UACGUAGGGAGCAAGCGUUGUUCGGAUUUACUGGGCGUAAAGGGCGCGUAGGCGGCGCGACAAGUCACUUGUGAAAUCUCCGGGCUUAACUCGGAACGGUCAAGUGAAACUGUCAUGCUAGAGUGCAGAAGGGGCAAUCGGAAUUCUUGGUGUAGCGGUGAAAUGCGUAGAUAUCAAGGGGAACACCUGAGGUGAAGACGGGUUGCUGGGCUGACACUGACGCUGAGGCGCGAAAGCCAGGGGAGCAAACGGG
rnacentral:rRNA from 1 species